rnacentral:rRNA from 1 species
CUACGGAGGGUGCAAGCGUUGUUCGGAAUUAUUGGGCGUAAAGAGCAUGUAGGCGGACUGUUAAGUCUGGUGUGAAAGCCCGGGGCUCAACCCCGGAAGUGCAUUGGAUACUGGCAGUCUUGAGUAUGGGAGAGGAAAGUGGAAUUCCGAGUGUAGGAGUGAAAUCCGUAGAUAUUCGGAGGAACACCAGUGGCGAAGGCGGCUUUCUGGACCAAUACUGACGCUGAGAUGCGAAAGCGUGGGGAGCGAACAGGAUUAGAAACCCUUGUAGUCC